AGUUUUUGUCUUAGCCUCGUUGCCCUCCGUGGUUGGGUUGGGAAUUAAGUUAAGUUAUGGUUAGGAGUCACUUAAUAUGACUUUUUAAGGUAAUAUUGGGAUUAAUUUGGUGAAGAAAACAACAAAUCAAUGUGGAAACUGUCUUCAACACAACAGGCAGACAGACAGACAGUGCUCGGGGUGAGAGCUGCGCCUGCACUGAAGUGUCCCAUUGAGUUUCCUGAAGUGGACUUAUCUCCUACCAUCCCAUCUCGCAUCGCACUCUUUCCUGGAUCCAGACAGGGCUGAGCGCCACACUCAUCCAGCCCUCCUCACACCCAAGAGGCCGCUCUCUUCUGGGCUCAGUCCCACACUCAACCACACAUCCUCCUUACAGUUGGCAGAGAUGGCUGCAUGAUACUCAAGAUCACGUCUUGGAGAACAAAGGAGCGUGGACACAAGGAUGCAUAAAGUAAGUUUUCUAUUCCAGGCAAUUUAGACACACACAUACAUUUGGCCAAGACACACAAACAACAUUGACACUGAAGAUGUGCA